AGAGGGGUGUCCGAGCGGUCGAAGGAGCACGCCUGGAAAGUGUGUAUACGCCAAAAGCGUAUCGAGGGUUCGAAUCCCUUCCCCUCUG
rnacentral:tRNA from 1 species